CCUACGGGAGGCAGCAGUGGGGAAUAUUGGGCAAUGGGCGCAAGCCUGACCCAGCAACGCCGCGUGAAGGAAGAAGGCUUUCGGGUUGUAAACUUCUUUUAAGAGGGAAGAGCAGAAGACGGUACCUCUGGAAUAAGUCACGGCUAACUACGUGCCAGCAGCCGCGGUAAUACGUAGGUGGCAAGCGUUGUCCGGAUUUACUGGGUGUAAAGGGCGUGUAGCCGGGCUGACAAGUCAGAUGUGAAAUUCCGGGGCUCAACCCCGGACCUGCAUUUGAAACUGGUGGUCUUGAGUAUCCGAGAGGCAGGCGGAAUUCCUAGUGUAGCGGUGAAAUGCGUAGAUAUUAGGAGGAACACCAGUGGCGAAGGCGGCCUGCUGGACGACAACUGACGGUGAGGCGCGAAAGCGUGGGGAGCAAACAGGAUUAGAUACCCUUGUAGUC
rnacentral:rRNA from 1 species